rnacentral:rRNA from 1 species
GACGAACCGUGCGAACGUUGUUCGGAUUCACUGGGUUUAAAGGGCGCGUAGGCGGUUGGUUAAGUCGGUGGUGAAAUACUUCGGCUCAACCGGAGAAUUGCCGCUGAAACUGGCCGACUUGAGGGAGGAAGAGGUGCGUGGAACUUCCGGUGGAGCGGUGAAAUGCGUUGAUAUCGGAAGGAACACCUGUGGCGAAGGCGACGCACUGGACCUUUUCUGACGCUGAGGCGCGAAAGCCAGGGUAGCGAACGGG